ACAGGUGACAGGCACAGCUGUAAGAUGCAUUACAGAUCUAUAGCAAUUGGAAGGGCGUGACCCAACUGAAAUAAACAUUAACAACUGUGUGACGUGAGGGCUAAGGAGAAAUGAAAGUGUCACUUCUGGAAUUUGCAAAUGACUACUAUACUGAUACGUAACUGGACAGAAUAAAUUUACAAUCUAUAAAUGUCUUUGAAUAACCAGUCACUCACCUGGGAAGGCCUUGAAAUCAAUGUUACCAUCUGGGGACUCUGUGACCCAGUGAUAAUAAAAAGACUGAAAGGAGGUCUGCAACCAAAUAACUUUACUCAACUCUUUGCAACUGAAUCAGUGGAGGCAAAGAUGCGUCUCAUUUACUUGACAGUUUAUGCACCACCCUGCAGAAAACACAACUCUUCUGAAAGUAUAUCUGAAAAAGA